rnacentral:rRNA from 1 species
UUCAGCUAGAGUCUUGUAGAGGGGGGUAGAAUUCCAGGUGUAGCGGUGAAAUGCGUAGAGAUCUGGAGGAAUACCGGUGGCGAAGGCGGCCCCCUGGACAAAGACUGACGCUCAGGUGCGAAAGCGUGGGGAGCAAACAGGAUUAGAUACCCUGGUAGUCCACGCCGUAAACGAUGUCGAUUUGGAGGCUGUGUCCUUGAGACGUGGCUUCCGGAGCUAACGCGUUAAAUCGACCGCCUGGGGAGUACGGCCGCAAGGUUAAAACUCAAAUGAAUUGACGGGGGCCCGCACAAGCGGUGGAGCAUGUGGUUUAAUUCGAUGCAACGCGAAGAACCUUACCUGGCCUUGACAUGUCUGGAAUCCUGUAGAGAUACGGGAGUGCCUUCGGG